GGAGGCUGAGGGAGGAGAACUAUUUGAACCCUAGAAGCAGAGGGAGCCAGAUUACACCACCACUGCACUCCAGCCUGGACGGAGAGUGAGAUUCUGUCAAAAAAAGAUAAACACAAUCUGGGAAACAUUUUAUAAUACAGAGGGCCACACCAGAUCGAAUAUUGUCCCCAGGAAUGAAAUGAAAACAGGAAUGGAUUCUCCAGUAAGAGUUGUUUGAAUCGGUGGAUGCAGAACCCAUGAAUAUGGAGAGUCAAUUUCAUUUCAUAAUGCCCAAAGGUAAAUGCGUAACUUUUUCCGCACAGCUAAUCUUCUAGCAACCCCAUUGCUGUCCAUGGCAAGCAGGCUUAGUUAAUCUCGCCCUUUCCAGUUUCAGGUUCAUUAAAAAACUCUUGUCAAACUCUCUUUCAUCCCACCUUAUUCUUCAUUCUCACUUCCAUCAGCAUAUCAGUCCAGGCCCUAGUAACAUUAAUGUUACUAAUGGCACUGUUAGUAAUAUUACUUACCAGCAUUCAAGUGGGUCUCCCUGAUGCCAUUGUCUCCCAUCCUGAAAUCACUGCUCUUUAUAUAGAACUUGUAUGAUGUCAUUCAUUGGCUCAAAAACUUUUAAAGCCUUCCUUUUUCUACUACCCCAAUCUAAAUUUCUAUGCCUGGCUUUUAUUAAAACCCGUAAUUUGGCCCCACCCUAGCUAUUUAACUUUAUUUUCCACUAUUCGCCAGUCUCCUCCCUCAUCAACGAGAAGACAUACCAUAAUCAACCUCACCACUAACCCUUGGAAUAUCUAAACUUAAAAAUGGUCCUUCUUUUCCCCUUUACUUGUAUUUAAAGAACCUGACGAAUUAUUCCUCCUCUGCUAAACUUUUCACAAUUUCUUCAACCUCAUUUACUUUUCAAGUUUUCAGAACAUAUCUUGCCGUUUAUUAGGAAUCUCACAAUUAGGCACUCUACUGUAGAUAGAUUUACAAUCAUGUAUGUUGUCAUCUUCUAUUAAAUUCCAUACUCCUUGAAGGCAGGAGUCAUGCCUUAUUCUGUCCCUCAGAGUACUCAGAAUGAUGCAGAGCACACAGAAAGUACUCAAAUCUUGUUGACU
rnacentral:lncRNA from 10 species